CGCCGCCGAAGCCGCCCGACCGCCCAGCUUGGCGUCCGCCCCGCCGCCCGCCGUUCCUUUUCUGCUUCCCGACGGCCUAAUGCAAACAAUGACAAUGAUCAGCACAUGUAAAGCCGCUUUUAUCUAUGGGGAACCCAGAGACUGUUGCUCCCCCACCAAUGCUUGAUUGUAGCCAAUCAUUUGCUGACGAUUCUAAAUUAUUGAGCUUCUGCUACAAACUGAAGUAAAUCCUCUAUGUCUUCGCAUUGUGGACUUGGGCACUGAACUUUCAAAAACAGUAUGACCUCGACCCUUUAA